rnacentral:rRNA from 1 species
CCGGGGGGGGGGGUGCCUUAUACAUGCAAGUCGAACGAGUUCUGAUUAUUGAAAGGUGCUUGCAUCUUGAUUUAAUUUUGAACGAGUGGCGGACGGGUGAGUAACACGUGGGUAACCUGCCCUUAAGUGGGGGAUAACAUUUGGAAACAGAUGCUAAUACCGCAUAAAUCCAAGAACCGCAUGGUUCUUGGCUGAAAGAUGGCGUAAGCUAUCGCUUUUGGAUGGACCCGCGGCGUAUUAGCUAGUUGGUGAGGUAACGGCUCACCAAGGCAAUGAUACGUAGCCGAACUGAGAGGUUGAUCGGCCACAUUGGGACUGAGACACGGCCCAAACUCCUACGGGAGGCAGCAGUAGGGAAUCUUCCACAAUGGACGCAAGUCUGAUGGAGCAACGCCGCGUGAGUGAAGAAGGCUUUCGGGUCGUAAAACUCUGUUGUUGGAGAAGAAUGGUCGGCAGAGUAACUGUUGUCGGCGUGACGGUAUCCAACCAGAAAGCCACGGCUAACUACGUGCCAGCAGCCGCGGUAAUACGUAGGUGGCAAGCGUUAUCCGGAUUUAUUGGGCGUAAAGCGAGCGCAGGCGGUUUUUUAAGUCUGAUGUGAAAGCCCUCGGCUUAACCGAGGAAGUGCAUCGGAAACUGGGAAACUUGAGUGCAGAAGAGGACAGUGGAACUCCAUGUGUAGCGGUGAAAUGCGUAGAUAUAUGGAAGAACACCAGUGGCGAAGGCGGCUGUCUGGUCUGUAACUGACGCUGAGGCUCGAAAGCAUGGGUAGCGAACAGGAUUAGAUACCCUGGUAGUCCAUGCCGUAAACGAUGAAUGCUAGGUGUUGGAGGGUUUCCGCCCUUCAGUGCCGCAGCUAACGCAUUAAGCAUUCCGCCUGGGGAGUACGACCGCAAGGUUGAAACUCAAAGGAAUUGACGGGGGCCCGCACAAGCGGUGGAGCAUGUGGUUUAAUUCGAAGCAACGCGAAGAACCUUACCAGGUCUUGACAUCUUUUGAUCACCUGAGAGAUCAGGUUUCCCCUUCGGGGGCAAAAUGACAGGUGGUGCAUGGUUGUCGUCAGCUCGUGUCGUGAGAUGUUGGGUUAAGUCCCGCAACGAGCGCAACCCUUAUGACUAGUUGCCAGCAUUUAGUUGGGCACUCUAGUAAGACUGCCGGUGACAAACCGGAGGAAGGUGGGGAUGACGUCAAAUCAUCAUGCCCCUUAUGACCUGGGCUACACACGUGCUACAAUGGAUGGUACAACGAGUUGCGAGACCGCGAGGUCAAGCUAAUCUCUUAAAGCCAUUCUCAGUUCGGACUGUAGGCUGCAACUCGCCUACACGAAGUCGGAAUCGCUAGUAAUCGCGGAUCAGCACGCCGCGGUGAAUACGUUCCCGGGCCUUGUACACACCGCCCGUCACACCAUGAGAGUUUGUAACACCCGAAGCCGGUGGCGUAACCCUUUUAGGGAGCGAGCCGUCUAAGUUGACCAAAU